rnacentral:rRNA from 1 species
AGAGUUUGAUCCUGGCUCAGGACGAACGCUGGCGGCGUGCUUAACACAUGCAAGUCGAACGGAAAGGUCUCUUCGGAGGCACUCGAGUGGCGAACGGGUGAGUAACACGUGGGUGAUCUGCCCUGCACUUCGGGAUAAGCCUGGGAAACUGGGUCUAAUACCGGAUGGGACCGCGGGAUGCAUGUCCUGUGGUGGAAAGCGUUUUAGUGGUGUGGGAUGGGCCCGCGGCCUAUCAGCUUGUUGGUGGGGUGAUGGCCUACCAAGGCGACGACGGGUAGCCGGCCUGAGAGGGUGUCCGGCCACACUGGGACUGAGAUACGGCCCAGACUCCUACGGGAGGCAGCAGUGGGGAAUAUUGCACAAUGGGCGCAAGCCUGAUGCAGCGACGCCGCGUGGGGGAUGACGGCCUUCGGGUUGUAAACCUCUUUCACCAUCGACGAAGCCUCGGGUUGACCGGGGUGACGGUAGGUGGAGAAGAAGCACCGGCCAACUACGUGCCAGCAGCCGCGGUAAUACGUAGGGUGCGAGCGUUGUCCGGAAUUACUGGGCGUAAAGAGCUCGUAGGUGGUUUGUCGCGUUGUUCGUGAAAUUCCCUGGCUUAACUGGGGGCGUGCGGGCGAUACGGGCAGACUGGAGUACUGCAGGGGAGACUGGAAUUCCUGGUGUAGCGGUGGAAUGCGCAGAUAUCAGGAGGAACACCGGUGGCGAAGGCGGGUCUCUGGGCAGUAACUGACGCUGAGGAGCGAAAGCGUGGGGAGCGAACAGGAUUAGAUACCCCGGUAGUCC